GUGGGCGGGCGUGCCUAAUACAUGCAAGUUGAGCGCUGAAGGUUGGUACUUGUACCGACUGGAUGAGCAGCGAACGGGUGAGUAACGCGUGGGGAAUCUGCCUUUGAGCGGGGGACAACAUUUGGAAACGAAUGCUAAUACCGCAUAAAAACUUUAAACACAAGUUUUAAGUUUGAAAGAUGCAAUUGCAUCACUCAAAGAUGAUCCCGCGUUGUAUUAGCUAGUUGGUGAGGUAAAGGCUCACCAAGGCGAUGAUACAUAGCCGACCUGAGAGGGUGAUCGGCCACAUUGGGACUGAGACACGGCCCAAACUCCUACGGGAGGCAGCAGUAGGGAAUCUUCGGCAAUGGACGAAAGUCUGACCGAGCAACGCCGCGUGAGUGAAGAAGGUUUUCGGAUCGUAAAACUCUGUUGGUAGAGAAGAACGUUGGUGAGAGUGGAAAGCUCAUCAAGUGACGGUAACUACCCAGAAAGGGACGGCUAACUACGUGCCAGCAGCCGCGGUAAUACGUAGGUCCCGAGCGUUGUCCGGAUUUAUUGGGCGUAAAGCGAGCGCAGGUGGUUUAUUAAGUCUGGUGUAAAAGGCAGUGGCUCAACCAUUGUAUGCAUUGGAAACUGGUAGACUUGAGUGCAGGAGAGGAGAGUGGAAUUCCAUGUGUAGCGGUGAAAUGCGUAGAUAUAUGGAGGAACACCGGUGGCGAAAGCGGCUCUCUGGCCUGUAACUGACACUGAGGCUCGAAAGCGUGGGGAGCAAACAGGAUUAGAUACCCUGGUAGUCCACGCCGUAAACGAUGAGUGCUAGAUGUAGGGAGCUAUAAGUUCUCUGUAUCGCAGCUAACGCAAUAAGCACUCCGCCUGGGGAGUACGACCGCAAGGUUGAAACUCAAAGGAAUUGACGGGGGCCCGCACAAGCGGUGGAGCAUGUGGUUUAAUUCGAAGCAACGCGAAGAACCUUACCAGGUCUUGACAUACUCGUGCUAUUCCUAGAGAUAGGAAGUUCCUUCGGGACACGGGAUACAGGUGGUGCAUGGUGUCGUCAGCUCGUGUCGUGAGAUGUGGGUAGUCCCGCACGAGCGCACCCUAUGUAGUGCAUCAUAGUUGGCACUCUACGAGACUGCCGUGAUACGGAAGAGGUGGGGGAAUGACGUCAUCAUCAUGCCCGUAUGACUGCUACCCGGCUCAUGAUGUACACGAGUUCGCGGGACGGUGAGUGUUUAGCCUAAC
rnacentral:rRNA from 1 species